rnacentral:rRNA from 1 species
AUACGGAGGGUGCGAGCGUUAAUCGGAAUUACUGGGCGUAAAGGGUGCGUAGGCGGCUUGAUAAGUCGGAUGAGAAAGCCCCGGGCUUAACCUGGGAAUUGCAUUCGAUACUGUCAGGCUAGAGUAUGUCAGAGGUUGGCGGAAUUCCUGGUGUAGCGGUGAAAUGCGUAGAUAUCAGGAGGAACACCAGUGGCGAAGGCGGCUAACUGGGCAAUACUGACGCUGAGGCACGAAAGCGUGGGGAGCAAACAGGAUUAGAUACCCUAGUAGUCC